rnacentral:rRNA from 1 species
UGCAAGUCGAACGAGAGAAUUGCUAGCUUGCUAAUAAUUCUCUAGUGGCGCACGGGUGAGUAACACGUGAGUAACCUGCCCCCGAGAGCGGGAUAGCCCUGGGAAACUGGGAUUAAUACCGCAUAGUAUCGAAAGAUUAAAGCAGCAAUGCGCUUGGGGAUGGGCUCGCGGCCUAUUAGUUAGUUGGUGAGGUAACGGCUCACCAAGGCGAUGACGGGUAGCCGGUCUGAGAGGAUGUCCAGCCACACUGGAACUGAGACACGGUCCAGACACCUACGGGUGGCAGCAGUCGAGAAUCAUUCACAAUGGGGGAAACCCUGAUGGUGCGACGCCGCGUGGGGGAAUGAAGGUCUUCGGAUUGUAAACCCCUGUCAUGUGGGAGCAAAUUAAAAAGAUAGUACCACAAGAGGAAGAGACGGCUAACUCUGUGCCAGCAGCCGCGGUAAUACAGAGGUCUCAAGCGUUGUUCGGAAUCACUGGGCGUAAAGCGUGCGUAGGCUGUUUCGUAAGUCGUGUGUGAAAGGCGCGGGCUCAACCCGCGGACGGCACAUGAUACUGCGAGACUAGAGUAAUGGAGGGGGAACCGGAAUUCUCGGUGUAGCAGUGAAAUGCGUAGAUAUCGAGAGGAACACUCGUGGCGAAGGCGGGUUCCUGGACAUUAACUGACGCUGAGGCACGAAGGCCAGGGGAGCGAAAGGGAUUAGAUACCCCUGUAGUCCUGGCAGUAAACGGUGCACGCUUGGUGUGCGGGGAAUCGACCCCCUGCGUGCCGGAGCUAACGCGUUAAGCGUGCCGCC